rnacentral:rRNA from 1 species
UGGGGAAUAUUGCACAAUGGGCGCAAGCCUGAUGCAGCGACGCCGCGUGAGGGAUGACGGCCUUCGGGUUGUAAACCUCUUUCAAAUAGGGACGAAGCGCAAGUGACGGUACCUAUAGAAGAAGGACCGGCCAACUACGUGCCAGCAGCCGCGGUAAUACGUAGGGUCCGAGCGUUGUCCGGAAUUACUGGGCGUAAAGAGCUCGUAGGUGGUUUGUCGCGUUGUUCGUGAAAACUCACAGCUUAACUGUGGGCGUGCGGGCGAUACGGGCAGACUAGAGUACUGCAGGGGAGACUGGAAUUCCUGGUGUAGCGGUGGAAUGCGCAGAUAUCAGGAGGAACACCGGUGGCGAAGGCGGGUCUCUGGGCAGUAACUGACGCUGAGGAGCGAAAGCGUGGGGAGCGAACAGGAUUAGAUACCCUGGUAGUCCACGCCGUAAACGGUGGGUACUAGGUGUGGGUUUCCUUCCUUGGGAUCCGUGCCGUAGCUAACGCAUUAAGUACCCCGCCUGGGGAGUACGGCCGCAAGGCUAAAAAGCUCAAAUGAAUUGACGGGGGUCAUAGCUG